rnacentral:rRNA from 1 species
AGAGUUUGAUCAUGGCUCAAAUUGAACGCUGGCGGCAUGCUUUACACAUGCAAGUCGAACGGCAGCACGGGGGCAACCCUGGUGGCGAGUGGCGAACGGGUGAGUAAUGCAUCGGAACGUGUCUUCGAGUGGGGGAUAACGCACCGAAAGGUGUGCUAAUACCGCAUAAUCUCUACGGAGAAAAGCAGGGGAUCGCAAGACCUUGCGCUCUUGGAGCGGCCGAUGUCUGAUUAGCUAGUUGGUGAGGUAAAGGCUUACCAAGGCGACGAUCAGUAGCUGGUCUGAGAGGACGACCAGCCACACUGGGACUGAGACACGGCCCAGACUCCUACGGGAGGCAGCAGUGGGGAAUUUUGGACAAUGGGGGAAACCCUGAUCCAGCCAUGCCGCGUGAGUGAAGAAGGCCUUCGGGUUGUAAAGCUCUUUCAGCCGGAACGAAACGGUCACGGCUAAUACCUGUGACUACUGACGGUACCGGAAGAAGAAGCACCGGCUAACUACGUGCCAGCAGCCGCGGUAAUACGUAGGGUGCAAGCGUUAAUCGGAAUUACUGGGCGUAAAGCGUGCGCAGGCGGUUUUGUAAGUCAGAUGUGAAAUCCCCGGGCUUAACCUGGGAACUGCGUUUGAAACUACAAGGCUAGAGUGUGGCAGAGGGGGGUGGAAUUCCACGUGUAGCAGUGAAAUGCGUAGAGAUGUGGAGGAACACCGAUGGCGAAGGCAGCCCCCUGGGUUAACACUGACGCUCAGGCACGAAAGCGUGGGGAGCAAACAGGAUUAGAUACCCUGGUAGUCCACGCCCUAAACGAUGUCAACUAGUUGUCGGGUCUUAACGGACUUGGUAACGCAGCUAACGCGUGAAGUUGACCAAUCACUA